GUGGACGAUAUACAUAGAGAUUCUGGUGGCAGGGGGGUCAGUGUAAAACUGUCUUCUGUCCGUAACGUAUCGAGCCGUAGUCGGUCGAGUGAAUCGUUAUACUAUUCGACAGGAGUCUUUUUUUAAUCUUCUAAAGUGCUCUAAAGAGAAAGCAACGGCUCUUACACCUGAGGAUUACUUUAUCGCGAAAGAAAUUGCGUCCAACAUUAGUCAUCGAGUCUUUUGAAUUUUUCCUAUGUAAAAAAGUAAAUCGAUAUCUGCACCCGUCAAUGGGUAUCAAUACCGUCGGUUGAAAGGGCUGUUAAAGAUAUUAUAUACAUAUACAUAUAUUCGAACUGUUAGCGUGGAACGACAGUCCGUACCCGAUGAGUAUUCGAUUGGCAGGUGGCCACAUGGUGAAGCAGAGGAGGUUUAUCGGGAAUACCAAUAAUAAAAUGAUUAAUAUACGGGAACAUUUAUAAAUAUUUUAGAGCGAUAAUUUAAUAUAUACGAUCGAGUGCACAAAACGUUAUUUUCUCUUCACGAGCUAGGUGCGACAGUGGAUCUGUAUGCUCCUAAACGGGAUUUAUCGGGAAUUUCACGGAGCAACGGUUCAUGUUGCGAUCGCAAGACGUGUUGUCACGUGUUGUAAAGAGAGUUACAGGUUCGACAACGGAUCAUUGACAUACUUUGACAGAUUUCUACGAGCCGGAAGACCAAAAGUGCUGGAUCCGCGCGGAUCUAGAUGUGAUUGCAUUUGUGAUUCGAUUUUCUUUUUAUAUUUAAUCCAGAUUUAUAGAGGAAUUUUUUUUAUUUUCUUAUUACGGUAAGUAAAAAGUCAAUACAUGACUAUUAUUCAUUCAGAAUCAUAUUUUUUUUUUUUCUAUCGGAGAUUCAGGCAAUGAAAUCACGCGAAAUCGAUAUUUCGGUGGAGUGUGCAUUCGUGUUUGCGCAACGUUGUGAAUAGCGAGAGCCGUGGGUUCCGCAAAAAAAGUCAUAGAAAGUUUUCGACAUUGGACACAUGUAGAAUGGAGAAAAGUAUAUUUUUCGAUACACAUGUGGUUCGCAUGUAUCGAAAUACCAUGCCGCAUGGAACGUAAUUGCAAUCCGUAGUGAAAACUGUUUCUGAGCAGCAAUAGUCGAUAUCCAAAGUAUUCCAAAAACUUUAUAAAAAAGAAGAAUAGAUUUAACAUUCAAUGCAGUCGCGUUUUAAGAUCCUAAUAAUACGGAAAUCUAAUAAUAGAGAAUGGUUCCGUAUGAUUAUGCGAUAAUAAAAGCGCUUAACAAAUAAAAAAAAAUGUAUUCUAACGUUUAAUAUGCUUUUUUUUUGUCACAUUGUAAUAGAGAUGUUUGAAAAUAAAAAUUUAAUGGCAGA